rnacentral:rRNA from 1 species
UACGUAGGGGGCUAGCGUUGUCCGGAAUCAUUGGGCGUAAAGCGCGUGUAGGCGGCAGCGCAAGUCGGGCGUGAAAUCCCACGGCUCAACCGUGGAAGUGCACUCGAAACUGCGCAGCUAGAGUCCUGGAGAGGAAGGUGGAAUGCUUGGUGUAGAGGUGAAAUUCGUAGAUAUCAAGCGGAACACCGGUGGCGAAGGCGGCCUUCUGGACAGUGACUGACGCUGAGACGCGAAAGCGUGGGGAGCAAACAGG